rnacentral:rRNA from 1 species
GGGGAAUUGUUCGCAAUGGGCGCAAGCCUGACGACGCAACGCCGCGUGGAGGAUGAAGAUCUUCGGGUCGUAAACUCCUGUCGAGUGGGACGAACGGCCUGCCGGUGAACAAUCGGCGGGAGUGACGGUACCACUAAAGGAAGCCCCGGCUAACUCCGUGCCAGCAGCCGCGGUAAUACGGGGGGGGGCAAGCGUUGUUCGGAAUUACUGGGCGUAAAGGGCUCGUAGGCGGCCAACUAAGUCAGACGUGAAAUCCCUCGGCUCAACCGGGGAACUGCGUCUGAUACUGAUUGGCUGGAAUCCGGGAGAGGGAUGCGGAAUUCCAGGUGUAGCGGUGAAAUGCGUAGAUAUCUGGAGGAACACCGGUGGCGAAGGCGGCAUCCUGGACCGGUAUUGACGCUGAGGAGCGAAAGCCAGGGGAGCAA